GACGAACGCUGGCGGCGUGCCUAACACAUGCAAGUCGAGCGGGGGGAGUUCUUCGGAACGAACCUAGCGGCGGACGGGUGAGUAACACGUGGGCAACCUGCCUUGAGGAGGGGGAUAACAGGAUGAUAGUCCUGCUAAUACCGCAUAACCCGGUGCUGUCGCAUGAUGGCAUCGGCAAAGGAGCAAUCCGCCUCAAGAUGGGCCCGCGGCGCAUUAGCUAGUUGGUGGGGUAACGGCCUACCAAGGCGACGAUGCGUAGCCGACCUGAGAGGGUGAUCGGCCACAUUGGAACUGAGACACGGUCCAGACUCCUACGGGAGGCAGCAGUGGGGAAUAUUGCACAAUGGGCGAAAGCCUGAUGCAGCAACGCCGCGUGAGCGAUGAAGGCCUUCGGGUUGUAAAGCUCUGUCUUCGCUGACGAAAUCUGACGGUAAGCGAGGAGAAAGCCACGGCUAACUACGUG
rnacentral:rRNA from 1 species